rnacentral:misc_RNA from 1 species
CAAGAGCAAGGGAAAGAACAAGAGAAAAGCUGUGGAGUCGAAGAAUCGACGAAUCAAAGCCAUGUGAAGAAGCAAAAAACCAUGAAUUGAACCAAUUAACCUACUGUAUUCCCUUUGAGACAGGUGAAGAAUCAGGCACCCAAACUCACACUAUGAAUCCUAAUCCCUUGGAGAUGCUGGCUCGUGAGGUGAAAGCACCAAGCUCACACGAGCAAGCUCGAUUAGUAACCACAGAAGGCAUGACUGAUGAUUCAUUGGUGAUCAUGGGGAAGUGGAGCCCAUAUGCUUCCAUUAUCAAUCAUCUGUGCAACACUGCGAUGCCCCAAGAGCAUCAAGGUACAAACUUGCAAUCUUUAUUCAAGUCAUGGGAGGCCUAUAACAGUUAGAUGAUGAUAUGUCAAGUCAAGUGGACAAAAGAAUUUGAAGAAUGCUAUGUAUGGCUUUUCUUUCUGUUUGGAAUUAAUGUGAAAUAGAGAAGUGUAUGUGUAUCUUUCUUUCUGCAAUUUUCUUGUGAACUGUUU